ensembl:lncRNA
CCUGUGCCAGGAGAAAGGUUUCCUGCCUUUGCCAAGUGGCCAGACAUGGAUCAAUCCCACCCGGAAUUGGGUUUCACAUCCCGGAAGCAGAGAUGUACACAUGGGUCACUUUCAUCGACUCACUGCGGCCAUGGCCAUAGGUAUCCAUCAUACAGACCAUUGACUGCUUGUGACCAUGAAGGUACAAAUUCAUCACAAAGAGAGGCUGCGGUGGAUGAGACUGAAGAUGAAUAACAGAUGCUGUGAUGGUGUCACGAUCUGAACUCCAGACUUGGCCGACUCGCCUGAAGACUGAGGGAGAGAAA